UCAACACUACCAUGGUAUUUGUGUUACUGCUCUAAACCCAGAGGAGUUUAUUGAAGCAAAAGACCCAUUUAGGAAAUAAUUACUUGUUGAUGGAAAUGUUCCUUGAAGUUUUACUAACGAUCCUGUGGAUUCAACUAUCACCGGUGAGUGGUCAACAGCUGAAUCAGAGUCCUCAGUCUAUAACCAUCCAGGAAGGCAAGGACGUCUCCAUGAACUGCAGCUCUUCAAGCACUUUUAACAGCUUCUUUUGGUACAAACAGAGCCCUGGAGAAGGUCCUGUCCUCUUGCUAACUUUGUAUAAGAGCGGUGAAUUGAUGAGAAAUGGGAAACUGACUGCUCAGAUAGGUGCAACAAGGAAGGACAGUGUCCUGAGCAUCCCUGCCUCCACGCCUGACGAUGUAGGAACCUACUUCUGUGCUGGCUACCACAGUGCUCCCCCAGCACCUGCAGCCUGUACUCAAAUUUGCAGGUGUUGGCAUGCAGUGUGAUGAGUUACACAGCCUGUAUUACUAUUGCAAACCCUC